UGGGCUUUAGGUAUGGAUCACUAGUGGAGGAUUACUACACAGGUUAUAGACUUCAAUGUGAAGGUUGGAAAUCAGUGUUUUGCAAUCCUAAAAGGCCUGCAUUUUUAGGAGAUGUACCAAUUUCUCUCCAUGAUGUGGUCAGCCAAAAUAAGAGGUGGUCUGUGGGCCUACUUGAAGUUGGUUUCUCAAAAUAUAGUAUUUCUCUCCAUGAUGUGGUCAGCCAAAACAAGAGGUGGUCUGUGGGCCUACUUGAAGUUGGUUUCUCAAAAUAUAGCCCAUUAACUUUUGGUGUUCGGUCC
rnacentral:lncRNA from 1 species